UACGAACUGUGCAAACGUUAUUCGGAAUCACUGGGCUUAAAGGGUGCGUAGGCGGCUGUCUAAGUAGGGUGUGAAAGCCCCCGGCUCAACCGGGGAAUUGCGCCCUAAACUGGACGGCUGGAGUGAGGCAGGGGUGUGUGGAACUUCCGGUGGAGCGGUGAAAUGCUUAGAUAUCGUCAAGAACACCUAUAGCGAAGGCAGCUUACUAGGCUGUAACUGACGCUGAGGCACGAAAGUGUGGGGAUCAAACAGG
rnacentral:rRNA from 1 species